rnacentral:rRNA from 1 species
GACAGCAGUCGCCACGGUAAUACGGAGGGGGCUAGCGUUGUUCGGAAUUACUGGGCGUAAAGCGCACGUAGGCGGUUUUGUAAGUCAGGGGUGAAAGCCCGGAGCUCAACUCCGGAACUGCCUUUGAGACUGCAUCACUUGAACGUCGGAGAGGUGAGUGGAAUUCCGAGUGUAGAGGUGAAAUUCGUAGAUAUUCGGAAGAACACCAGUGGCGAAGGCGGCUCACUGGACGACUGUUGACGCUGAGGUGCGAAAGCGUGGGGAGCAAACAGGAUUAGAUACCCCCGUAGUCCCUGUCUCUUAUAC